UGCGGUAAUUUGACCGUGCAAAGGUAGCAUAAUCAAUAGUCUUUUAAUUGAAGGCUUGAAUGAACGGCUGGAUAAAAGAGAAGCUGUCUUUUUUUCAAGUUAGAAUUUGACUUUUAAGUGAAAAGGCUUAAAUUAACUAAGGGGACGAUAAGACCCUAUAAAACUUAAUAAAAGGUUAAUUUUAACUAUGAAUUGUAUUUAAAAGUUGUGAAAUUCUCUUUUUAUUUUGUUGGGGCGACAUUGAUAUAAGCUGUAACUGUCUUGAUAAUAAAAUAGUUAUCACUAUAAGCUGAUCCUUUUUUAGGGAUAAUAAGUAUAAGUUACUUUAGGGAUAACAGCGUAAUUUUUUCUGAGAGUUCUUAUCGAAGAAAGUAGUUGCGACCUCGAUGUUGAAUUAA
rnacentral:rRNA from 2 species